rnacentral:lncRNA from 1 species
UUAAUACAAGACCAGUUUAUUUCUUGCUAUUCCAAACCUAUUAAAGAUGUUCCCGCCCUGCAGGUGGCCUGCUACAUGGUCCUUCAGAAACCAAACUCCUUCCAUAUUACAGCCCUGUCCUCCUCUAGAUCCUCAGUCCUUUCCAGCGUGGUCCAGUUGUUGAGGAAAGGGUUGGAGGGUUGCCAUGGGGGGUUUGCCGGUGCCAGGUCUGGAAGUGGUGCAUGUCCGUUCUACUCAUACUUCACUAGCUGGAGCUCAGACAAAUGACCACAGGAAGGCUGGUAAAUAUGGUUGAGCAUUCAUGCUUCCAGAGCUUCCUUUCUGUUGAUCAGGGAUUACGGGAAUGAUGUUUUAGAAAUUUGGUCACCUGGUUUGUAAAGUAAGGUCUUCCUGGGCAGAGUUUUGCUUUUCCCUUUGUCUUCUGAGGUAGAUUUAUAGGCAGCUCUUGUUAUUUACACUCCUGGAAUUCACUCUGCCGUGUGGCUGAUUAUGUCCGGAACCCAUUGAUAAUUCCUCAUGUCAACGUUGGGAAUGCAAGCACAGACAACACCUAAACAGAGGCCAGCCUGCCUUUUCUUGGAGGUGGGCCAAGGAAUGGUUAUGGGAGCGUGAAAGC